rnacentral:rRNA from 1 species
AGGACGAACGCUGGCGGCGUGCUUAACACAUGCAAGUCGAGCGGACAUCUUCGGAUGUUAGCGGCGAACGGGUGAGUAACACGUGGGCAACCUGCCCCUAGCUCUGGGAUAACUCCGGGAAACCGGGGCUAAUACUGGAUAUGACCGAUCCAUGCAUGUGGGUUGGUGGAAAGUUUUUCGGCUAGGGAUGGGCCCGCGGCCUAUCAGCUUGUUGGUGGGUGAUGGCCUACCAAGGCGACGACGGGUAGCCGG